UUCGCCCCCUUCCCCCGAAGGUACAGCUGCCCGGCUGCUGUUCUUAAAAGGAAGGGAUGCCUUUGCCUCAUCCGGAGGAUCUGAGAGGCCUUUUACCAGGGACCAGAUUUUGGCCACAGCAUCAUGCAGAUGGGAGGGAAAAAAGAAGAUAAAGCUCUAAGCAACCCUGGAGCCAGAGAGGAAAAGAUGAAGAGGCAAAGAAAGAAGAAAAGGACAUCUUAAACGAGGAUGAUGAAAAAACAAGAUGACAAGAUACGAACAGGAUUUAGAGCAGGUUUAUCUGUAAAAACUGGGCUUGAGUAACACAAUAUCAUUCAAUUUUGUAUAAUCCUACAGUGUGUUCCCAAGUUCCUGACUGUGAGCAUGUGAAAGAAAUUAAAUUGAUGAAUUAGUA